CACCGUGUCUCCUUUGAUCUCUCCAUCCAAGCUCUCCUGUCCAACGGCUCCAUUGAGGUGGCACAAAGAAAGGGGAAUAGAAUUUGUCACCAUCAUCAGUCCUUUAUUUCAUUCACUGGAGAACAUCACAACCUCCAGAUGUGUCAUGUCAGGAUAAAUUCAGCUGCAGGGAAACUUAUAUGAAGGACUCGUCAGCCCCACCCAACUCCAGAUUCACCAAGGAUCCAGCUGUAGCCCCGUUCCCACUACAUGUGGCACACAACGAAAAAAAGCAACACGAUCCCAUUCAUAUCAAUGGAGAGCUGGCGAUUUUCAGUGACAGAGGCCUUUGGCGACCGGAUGUGGCAUGUCCGUCGAUCGUUGUGAUCAUUUUCCUCUCAGCUGUAAAUAAACAUACGCAAUGGAAAAAAGUAGGCUUCUCUUCUCAUUCAUUUUUGUUUGUAUGUACAGAUUUAAUUUGUAUUUAUGAUAUAUUUAGUCAUUUGCCUCCAAAAUGUUUGUAUUUAGCGGCAAGAAACCUGAUUCACUGUGAAGGCAACCAGUAG
ensembl:lncRNA